rnacentral:rRNA from 1 species
GUCCACGCCAUAAACGAUGAGAACUGGAUGUCGGAAGGGUCUGCCUUUCGGUGUCGUAGCUAACGCGUUAAGUUCUCCGCCUGGGGAGUACGGCCGCAAGGUUGAAACUCAAAUGAAUUGACGGGGACCCCGCACAAGCGGUGUAGCAUGUGGUUUAAUUCGAUGCAACGCGAAGAACCUUACCUGGCCUUGACAUCUGUCGAAUCCUGCAGAGAUGCGGGAGUGCCUUCGGGAACGAUAAGACAGGUGCUGCAUGGCUGUCGU